UACGGAGGAUGCAAGCGUUAUCCGGAAUGAUUGGGCGUAAAGCGUCCGCAGGUGGCCAUGUAAGUCUGCUGUCAAAGCGUCUGGCUCAACCAGAUAAAGGCAGUGGAAACUACAUAGCUAGAGUAAGGUAGGGGUAGAGGGAAUUCCUGGUGUAGCGGUGAAAUGCGUAGAGAUCAGCAGGAACACCCGUGGCGAAGGCGGCCCCCUGGGCCGUACCUGACGCUGAGGCGCGAAGGCUAGGGGAGCGAACGGG
rnacentral:rRNA from 1 species